AACAAAACAAUAAAAGAACGAGAAAUUACAGUGAAUGAGAUAAAUU
rnacentral:guide_RNA from 1 species